AGCCGGAGAAGCUGCUGUACUGUGUCGGCCUCCUCUCUCUUGUCCAACACUCUCCAGAAGGAGAGAGGAGGCACUCUGCAGAUCCUGCUCAUCUUUAAGGACCAACUGAGAGCCACCCUUCACAGUCUCUCCUCCUCCCAGCAAAAAGAAGACUUUCCAUUUGGGUGUUGUUUAAAGGAGAGAGGUUUGCUAUGGCAUCAACAGACUACUAAGAAAGAGACUAGCUUCCCAACAACAGAAGAUCUCAUGGACUAAAGUAAGAAGGGUAACUUGGAGGGGCGCUGGGGUGGUUCAGUCGGUUGAGCGGCUGACUUUGGCUCAGGUCAUGGUCUCACGGUUCGUGAAUUUGGGCUCUGUGCUAACAGCUCGGAGCCUGGAGCCUGCUUCGGAUUCUGUGUCUCCCUCUCUCUCUGCCCCUGUCCUGCUCACACUGUCUCUCUCUCUCAAAAAUAAAUAUAGGUUAAAAGAAAAAAGAAGGAUAACUUGGAUUUGUGUAGUGCUUUUGGUACACUA